UGUUGCAUAAUCAGGGUGAUUGGCACAGUAGCCCAGGUUGUUGAGAAUCACUCUUUGUAAAGCCAUGCCUUGAAAGCCUGCAUUCCCUACAUCGUCAAACAGCACCCGACACUCUCAGAAAGACAGGUGGGGGAGGGACACAGGCCCCCAACCCUGGCCAUCAGAUUUGCUCAGAAAACAGAUGUGCAUCCUUUUGCAUACCUGUGUAGAAGUGCAGGCCGGGGUGUGCUGAGAUGCCUGCUGGUGUCUUUACCAAAUUACCCCCCCCCCCUUUCUCAGAACAGGGUUUGUCUAUGUAGCCCUGGCUGUCCUGGAACUCUGUAGACCAGGCUGGCCUCGAACUCAGAGAUCCGCCUGCCUCUGCCUCCCAAGCACUGGGAUGAAAGGCGUGCGCCGCAUUCUUUUUACACAGAGCACAAACGAUCAGGACUUUGGAGAACAUUCAAUGUUCAUACCUCGCAAAUAAAGUCAGUAUGAAUUAGUGGUGACUCCCCACACCUGAGUCCCUAAUGUUUAGGGUUCAAAUUUUCUCCUUUUAAAAAGACGGUGAUUACUUUUUGAACCUAUGAGAAUUUUAAUUAAUUGAUCUUAACUUUUUCCUAUUCUAGGAGCAGUGAAAUAAUUUAAAAUUAACUUCUAUGCUGGAAACAUCUGAAAAUGUUUGAGAAUCCAGUCAUAUUUAAAAUAAACGACAUACAAGUCUUUUUGAAAAACCUGAUUUUAAGGUCUUAAUUAAAACCGUUUUCCGUAAGCGUUUUCAUUUUCUGUGCUACUUUUACUUGAGGAUUAAACAGAAUAUUGAACUAAGGAUGCCCAGCUUGGCUACAAUGACGAGAAUGAGAAGAAAAUAGAAAUGUAUUCUUACACUGUGUGUUUAGAGGAUGUCUGAGCACUUGGGUUGGUCUUGUGCCCGCUUCUUCUCCCUACCCCGAGAGUUCCUAACACGUUUAUACACUUUUGCAGGUAACCUUAGGCAUCUUACCUGCUCACAGUGCAGCGGCACAUGCCCGUUUCAGCCGCUAGGCAACAUCUUUGCAGUUGUGUCUCACUGAGGGUUGCCUGCUAACUCAAAGGUCUGUGCUAACCUCACAAGAGCGAGACUAAAUGGCAAGAGAGGAGAGCGAGCAAGGGUGAUAGGUGUUUGCUUGGCACGCAGGAGGCACUGGGGUCUCCACAUGGCAGGAGACAAAUCAGCACACACAGAAUUCUGCGAAGCUUUCACGAUAAAAACAUCUUUAAAAGACUUUGCAAAUGGAACAGGACUCCCUGACACAGAGGACACCGGAAAUGUUAAUUGGAGAGGAGCAAGCAGGAGGCCCAGUGCAGGCGACUUUGCUUUCCUGGUAAGUUAACUCCUCAAGAAAACCAGGAUAGCUGCAUGAUCUACUUUCUGGAUUAAGCCAGUGCUAUCCCAUGGCCAAUUCUGCAGUUCCUGACCCAGGUUUGUACAAGACACAGUUACAUCAGACAUAGGACUCAUAUCACGAGAUGGAUGUUCAGCUCCUGGGACAAUCCCUGCUGGGCCUCUCGAAUAUGAUCACACGCAGCACCCAAGUCAGCACCAUGGACAGCAUCCCGGGACCGCAGUAAUUAUCGACCUUUAAACACCUUUGUAGAAAAAUCUGAUCGGUGGGAAUGUCGGUGGGAACGUACAAGAGCUUUUAAGUAACUGAGAGUAUCUGAAGAUUUUUUAAAAAUAUCUCUACAAGAAGC
rnacentral:lncRNA from 1 species